rnacentral:tRNA from 1 species
GGAGAUGUAGCUCAGUGCUAGAGCACUUGCCUAGCAUGUAAGAGGCCCUUGGUUCAAACCCCAGUACCA